UGGAAUGUGGCUUAGUGGUAGAGUGCUUGCCUAGCAUGCAUGAAGACCUGGGUUCGAUUCCUCAGCACCAC
rnacentral:tRNA from 1 species